rnacentral:rRNA from 1 species
CCUACGGGUGGCAGCAGUGAGGAAUAUUGGUCAAUGGACGAGAGUCUGAACCAGCCAAGUAGCGUGAAGGAUGACUGCCCUAUGGGUUGUAAACUUCUUUUAUAUGGGAAUAAAACGUUCCACGUGUGGGAUUUUGUAUGUACCAUAUGAAUAAGGAUCGGCUAACUCCGUGCCAGCAGCCGCGGUAAUACGGAGGAUCCGAGCGUUAUCCGGAUUUAUUGGGUUUAAAGGGAGCGUAGGUGGAUUGUUAAGUCAGUUGUGAAAGUUUGCGGCUCAACCGUAAAAUUGCAGUUGAAACUGGCAGUCUUGAGUAGAGUAGAGGUGGGCGGAAUGCGUGGUGUAGCGGUGAAAUGCUUAGAUAUCACGAAGAACUCCGAUUGCGAAGGCAGUUCACUGGACUGCAACUGACACUGAGGCUCGAAAGUGUGGGUAUCAAACAGGAUUAGAUACCCCUGUAGUC